UAGGAUUGGUACUUCAGGAGCAGAUCAAAUUAAAGCCCAUCCUUGGUUCAAAGGUUCUCAAUGGGACAAACUCUAUGAAAUGGAUGCAGCAUUUAAACCACACGUCUAGCGAGAGCUUGAUACCCAAAUUUUUUUGAAAUUUGAUGAGGUGGACUGUCCUCCAGGAACAUGAUCUGGGCCAUUAAAGAAGA